rnacentral:rRNA from 1 species
CAAGUCGAACGGUAGAGGGGGCAACCCCUCGAGAGUGGCGAACGGGUGAGUAAUAUAUCGGAACGUGCCCAGUCGUGGGGGAUAACGUAGCGAAAGUUACGCUAAUACCGCAUACGAUCUACGGAUGAAAGCGGGGGACCGUAAGGCCUCGCGCGAUUGGAGCGGCCGAUAUCAGAUUAGGUAGUUGGUGGGGUAAAGGCUCACCAAGCCAACGAUCUGUAGCUGGUCUGAGAGGACGACCAGCCACACUGGAACUGAGACACGGUCCAGACUCCUACGGGAGGCAGCAGUGGGGAAUUUUGGACAAUGGACGCAAGUCUGAUCCAGCCAUUCCGCGUGCAGGAUGAAGGCCCUCGGGUUGUAAACUGCUUUUGUACGGGGCGAAAAGGUUUCCAUUAAUACUGGGAGCUCAUGACGGUACCGUAAGAAUAAGCACCGGCUAACUACGUGCCAGCAGCCGCGGUAAUACGUAGGGUGCAAGCGUUAAUCGGAAUUACUGGGCGUAAAGCGUGCGCAGGCGGUUAUGUAAGACAGAGGUGAAAUCCCCGGGCUCAACCUGGGAACUGCCUUUGUGACUGCAUAGCUAGAGUACGGUAGAGGGGGAUGGAAUUCCGCGUGUAGCAGUGAAAUGCGUAGAUAUGCGGAGGAACACCGAUGGCGAAGGCAAUCCCCUGGACCUGUACUGACGCUCAUGCACGAAAGCGUGGGGAGCAAACAGGAUUAGAUACCCUGGUAGUCCACGCCCUAAACGAUGUCAACUGGUUGUUGGGUCUUCACUGACUCAGUAACGAAGCUAACGCGUGAAGUUGACCGCCUGGGGAGUACGGGCCGCAAGGUUGAAACUCAAAGGAAUUGACGG